GAGAGACAUGCGGAUUUUAGAAUUUGACAGCGGAAUAAUUUUAUAGCACAAAAUAUAAAGAAAUAUGUUAAAAUUUUUUGUGUAACAAAGUAUUAUUGUUUAUCGAAACAAAUUUACGCAAAAGUCGAAAAAAGAACAAAUGAAAGUUUAUGUUAAUGUUUUCCUUUUUUCCUGAUUUUUCUAAAAAUCAUGUAAAAAGCAUAAUAUUUAAUUCAUUAAACGGAAAAAUGAAAACUGAGAUCAUUCAGAACCUUCCCGACUAAACCCCCUAAUUAUCCAAAAAAUAAUAUAAAUCUCACUUACAACAGGUGCAAACAUAAACUGCAUUUCACUCGAUUGUUCCAAAAACACGUCGAUCGAAUGCAAAUUUGUAAUUUUAGCAAAAAUCCUCCCAGAUUCGUCUAUUUUUAUCGUUUCUGUCAUCUCUCGCACCAUCCAGGAUUUGUGGCACCGUAUCAAUACCGUGAGAUGACUUAAAAUAUACACCACCACCGUUCUGGUGGCGCUUGAAACCGAUAUUUCAAUUAUGUGACACAUGGUACUAAAACAACAACAGUCAAGAAUGAGAAAAAACACUCACAAACACAGUUGGUGACACAGCGCUAAUUUAAAUUAAUCACCAACGAUCGUCCUAAAUGGAAAGAUGUGGUGAUAAAUUAUUUUAGAAUUUGUUUUCAUCGCUCCUCAAAAACUUAACAGAACGAAUAUUAAGCAAUCGUUUCAAGCUAUAUGCAAAGAAUUCGAAACAGAUGCAUCUUCAAUCGUUGCAAUAUAAAUAAAACGAUCGUGAACAAAACAAAAAGAGAACCAUAAAAUGUUGCAGCAAAUGAAAACGGAUUGUAAUCGAGAUCGGUUGACGGUUUUCAUUACUUCCAGAGUGCCCCGCGGUGUACAUUUUAAUUUCGUGACCAUGUACUGUUUCCCCCUUUCACGGUAAUGAAUGUAUUGCUUAAUUUCGAUUCCGGCCACACAAAUGAAGAUUUGUGCACCGUGCACUCGCCGGAUCCCUGAGUCGUGGUUUUUUAUAUCAUUCUCUCGAGCUCAACCGAUGGAAAAUUAAUUGUUCAUUUUUGUCCGUUUUUUUUUUCUUCGUAAUUCAGAAUAUCGAAAGAUAUGCGGAAUAUAAAUUGUACUGCUUUAACAUAAACCGCCGAAUGCUGUAAACUCUCAGUGGGUAGUUGUGCACUGUUCUUUCCACAGAGCCGCAAAAACGCCCCAAAGCGUACCCACUUGGCAGAAAUCGCAUGAGAGGGGGGAAAUUUCUUCAUUCUCGCUACCCCUGACCCUCACUUUCGAGCGAUCGUACGACAAACUCUCACUCCACCACCCUACCUCACUCACACACGCUCCUAUAUUCUAUGUAAACCCUCACCGCAACCUGCGUCACCAACCCACCCCACACCUGAACGGUCCCAUACUCGAAGUGUUAGUCAAUUUUGGUUCCACACUUCGAAGCCUGUCGAGGAGUGCGGCACUAUAUUGUUUUUCGCUGUCUCCUUUCUUUCACUGCAAAAUUGCUUUUGCCCUGUCUUUGGCGUAUUCAUAUGAGUUUGGCCUUUGCUGGAGGCGGAGGUGUGUGCGCAAGCGUUAUCGUGUUUUGUGAAGUGAUUCUUUGCUCCGGUAAGUAAUGUGAAAACUAAUGAUUGUGAUUAGUGAAUUAAUUCUAAUCCAUGUGUUUUGUGCGUAGUGAAUCCCAUCGAGUCGAUCAGCUGAUGGAAAGAGUUUGGCCGUGAAGCGGAAAGGGUGAAGCCGGAGUUAAAUCGCAGGAUGGCAGGACAUAUCACAUCGGAGAGAGUGCUGAAUACUCGCCGUCUUGAGAGAAACCUCUGCCGAACAUAGGAACCCCAUCCCACCGUCCGCUUCGCAGAACGCCGGCAGUUUUUUUUACCUGUUCGUCCAGCGACCGCUUGCGCAUGAUGAGCAGAGGUGCAAUAAAAAAAGGGAUCGUAUGUAUUUCCUGGUAAUUAUUUCGUUCACGGUCGUGGUGUGUUCGGGACGAGGGUGUCCCGAAUGCAGCAAUAGGAAAGAAAGGGAAAGCGAGAAAGAAAAAAAAAGCGAAGGAAAGAACGGGACAAAAUAAAGCUAAUUUUUUGGCUUCCCGGCUUAUUAUAAAUAAGCUUGGGAGCUUCCAUGCUUGCAAGCUUGCAUGCUCGUAUGCAAGCGUACAUGCGCCCCGCCCCCUAUACCCGAUUCCCCCACCCCCGCGAACGAUCCACGAACGAGGCUUACUAAGUUGCUAGUAAGCCUUUAAUAAGCCGGCUAAUAAGCCUCGAUGUCGUACGACUUUUGCCAAGUGGGUAAUAAUAUUGAGCAUUUCAAUGGUUUUCAUAUCUCAGUUGUCGCCCUCUGAUUGGGAACAGGCGAUGCAAAUCGUCCCACCCCUGCUGGUUGUAUGAUUUGUUGUGCAUUUUUUUCUUCUUUUUAGCUUUCUCAUAAAAAAAACCGUCCAUCCAAAGAGCGAAACCAAUCCAAUAGACCUGUAUGAGAUUCCUCGUUUUACCUUUGCACCCAUAAGUACUAGUACAGCUACACUCAUAAAUAUAUCUCCCACAAUUUCAAUUUACACCUACGCGAACGAACACGCACACAUAAGGUUUCAGCGCGGAAAAAAGGAAAUGAGAUCCAUCUCGUGCGGUUUGGCUUCGUUCGGGGGUUUCCAUUCAUAUUCCCACCAGCCCGUUUUUGCUACGGCAAAGAAGAGCAAAGGUAGAUUGGUAAAGAACCCAAAACAGUACGACACAUAAAUUACCACCAAUCGAUUUUGAAUAACGUCACAAACUAAACAAAAAAAGGUAAAGGUACGAACUAAAGGAAGCAUAACGCAGCGGGAAGGUACGCGUACGACAGCUCGCCGAUACAAUCGUCUUCCAUCAUCGUGCGAUCAAGAGGAACACACAACACACAGGAAUACAUUGUGCCGGACGGAAACGAUGCGUUUUACGAAAGCCAAGAAGACCCGAGAAGAUUCUGUUGCUCCCGCGAGAUUUAGCCGGCUAUAGCUUCCUUCUGAGCAUCAGCCGCACGAAGAAGCACGCAGUAAAACCAAAAAUGAAAAUGAGUUGGGUCGGGUUAAAACCCGACCGACAGUGUGCCAUGGAUCGACAUUGUCGACGCCUUGCAUUUUUUGUUGUUGUUUUUGUUUUUAUUUUGGGGGUUUUUUUUUGUUUCCCGUCGCAAUCUCGCAACCAACCGAUGGUCGAGACUUAUAACGAAGAAAUUUGUAUAUUAUGCCCGAUGAUUGCCACUCAUGUUUUCGGCUCCGCUGCCUCCUCACCGGCCCCAUUUCCCGGCAUAUCGGGAACGAUGCUUACAUUUAUCUUACGCCUCGUUGAUGUAUGCGCUCUGCUGUGGGGGAAGUUUAUUUUCUCUUGCGUUUCCCGUUGGCGGGACUCUGUGAUUCUUUUUCUUCGUUUUAUUGGCAUUUUGUACGUCCGACGAAGACGGCACGGGACUCUUGUGCUUUUCUUCGUGCGAUCAACAGGGACCAACCCGGGGCGAGUGGAUUAAACGAAGUAAUCCACCUGGAUGACCCAGGGGG